CAUGUGGCUCAGUGGAUAGAGCGUUCGCCUCCGGAGCGAAAGGUCGCGGGUUCGACUCCCGCCAUG
rnacentral:tRNA from 1 species